rnacentral:rRNA from 1 species
GAUGAACGCUGGCGGCGUGCCUAAUACAUGCAAGUCGAGCGAACAGACGAGGAGCUUGCUCCUCUGACGUUAGCGGCGGACGGGUGAGUAACACGUGGAUAACCUACCUAUAAGACUGGGAUAACUUCGGGAAACCGGAGCUAAUACCGGAUAAUAUAUUGAACCGCAUGGUUCAAUAGUGAAAGACGGUUUUGCUGUCACUUAUAGAUGGAUCCGCGCCGCAUUAGCUAGUUGGUAAGGUAACGGCUUACCAAGGCGACGAUGCGUAGCCGACCUGAGAGGGUGAUAGGCCACACUGGAACUGAGACACGGUCCAGACUCCUACGGGAGGCAGCAGUAGGGAAUCUUCCGCAAUGGGCGAAAGCCUGACGGAGCAACGCCGCGUGAGUGAUGAAGGUCUUCGGAUCGUAAAACUCUGUUAUGAGGGAAGAACAAAUGUGUAAGUAACUAUGCACGUCUUGACGGUACCUAAUCAGAAAGCCACGGCUAACUACGUG